AUUGAACGCUGGCGGCAGGCCUAACACAUGCAAGUCGAGCGGAUGAAGGGAGCUUGCUCCUGGAUUCAGCGGCGGACGGGUGAGUAAUUCCUAGGAAUCUGCCUUGUAGUGGGGGAUAACGUCCGGAAACGGGCGCUAAUACCGCAUACGUCCUGAGGGAGAAAGUGGGGGAUCUUCUGACCUCACGCUAUCAGAUGAGCCUAGGUCUGAUUAGCUAGUUGGUGGGGUAAAGGCCUACCAAGGCGACGAUCCGUAACUGGUCUGAGAGGAUGAUCAGUCACACUGGAACUGAGACACGGUCCAGAAUCCUACGGGAGGCAGCAGUGGGGAAUAUUGGAAAAGGGGAGAAAGCCUGAUCCAGCCAUGCCGCGUGUGUGAAGAAGGUCUUCGGAUUGUAAAGCACUUUAAGUUGGGAGGAAGGGCAGUAAGUUAAUACCUUGCUGUUUUGACGUUACCAACAGAAGAAGCACCGGCUAACUUCGU
rnacentral:rRNA from 1 species